rnacentral:rRNA from 1 species
UACGGAGGGUGCAAGCGUUAUCCGGAUUCACUGGGUUUAAAGGGUGCGUAGGUGGGUUGGUAAGUCAGUGGUGAAAUCUCCCGGGCUUAACCUGGAAACUGCCAUUGAUACUAUCAAUCUUGAAUACCUUGGAGGUGAGCGGAAUAUGUCAUGUAGCGGUGAAAUGCUUAGAUAUGACAUAGAACACCAAUUGCGAAGGCAGCUUACUACACACGAUUGACGCUGAGGCACGAAAGCGUGGGGAUCAAACAGG